GGCAUGUAGCUCAGUUGGAUAGAGCGUCAGAUUCCGGUUCUGAAUGUCGGGGGUUCGAGUCCCUCCAUGC
rnacentral:tRNA from 1 species